GGCCGGGUGCCCGAGAAGCUAGGGAACGGUCUGCAAAACCGUUUUACAUGGGUGCGAGUCCCAUCCCGGCCU
rnacentral:tRNA from 1 species